GACGAACGCUGGCGGCGUGCUUAACACAUGCAAGUCGAACGGAAAGGCCCUGCUUUUGUGGGGUGCUCGAGUGGCGAACGGGUGAGUAACACGUGAGUAACCUGCCCUUGACUUUGGGAUAACUUCAGGAAACUGGGGCUAAUACCGGAUAGGAGCUCCUGCUGCAUGGUGGGGGUUGGAAAGUUUCGGCGGUUGGGGAUGGACUCGCGGCUUAUCAGCUUGUUGGUGGGGUAGUGGCUUACCAAGGCUUUGACGGGUAGCCGGCCUGAGAGGGUGACCGGACACAUUGGGACUGGGAUACGGCCCAGACUCCUACGGGAGGCAGCAGUGGGGAAUAUUGCACAAUGGGCGGAAGCCUGAUGCAGCAACGCCGCGUGCGGGAUGACGGCCUGCGGGUUGUAAACCGCUUUCGCCUGUGACGAAGCGUGAGUGACGGUAAUGGGUAAAGAAGCACCGGCUAACUACGUG
rnacentral:rRNA from 1 species